rnacentral:lncRNA from 1 species
CCCAACAGUUAUUUGCCUUAAGGACUUUAUGUAAAUGAUUCUGUUCUGUAUAAACUGAAAAGCGAAGAGAGCCCUGCCAUUUUGGCAAUCCUCAUGGAUAUGAUUAAUAGAUCUGCAACAGAACUGGGCAGAGACAACUGAUGGCAUUUCCAUCUAAAAGGCAGUGUGUUUAGGCAGUAAAUAUGAUAGCUUCUAGACUUCAUGUGCACUUCUUCUUCAACCAAAAGAGUAAAAACGUCCUUGGCAUCUCCUCUACAUGGUUAAAGAGAUUCACAAAAGAAGAGCAUCGAGACUCACCUCCCUUAGACCUGUACCUCACACCCACCAAGAUGCCCAGGACAUAUGCCCAGUCAUAACUUUGUCCUACACUGGAACCCAAUUCUCCAUUUUAUAUGCUCCCUAAACACAUAUCCUGCAUCAUCAUCAGAGACACAGUUCCCUCUACUGAGAUCUAAGCUCUAGUGAUCACUGUUUUUAAUCCUCUCACUGUGAAAUUGCUGAAGUACUCAUUCCCAGCUUUGCAUGCAACUCAAGUCCUCCGAGAGCAUGCUGGGAACAGGAAAGGAUUGGGAGAAGGAAAGUGAAGGGGAGGAGUAGGGGGUGAGGGGGGAAAUGAGGAAGAGGUUGGAAGAAGGGGAGUGGAAAAGAAUGUGAGAGCAGAAGGGGCUCAGGCAGGAAAGAUGAGAGGAACUGUAAUAUCUAAGCAAUUUAAAAUGGAGGAAAUAUUUUGGGGCUUUGCUUUUUCUUUGCUUGUUUGUUUGUCUUCUGAGCCUCCACAUUUUAAGUGUUAAGUCUCAAGCCAUCAGAAUGAAUAAAAUGGUUUGGGGACUGAUUCUACAAAUUGAUUUCCUUCCAGCCUAUUCCUGCUCUGGUGGUUCCUAUAAAGCCUGGAAGAAGAGUUACCCCAAGAUGGUGUCAUCUGUGUCCAGCUUCUUCUUCAGCACAUCUGCUUGGUGUCAGCUGGGGUGGAUGUCAUGUUUAAGGCUGGGAUUGCUUACAGUUACAACUGGCAGCAGUUUCAUGAACAACAUCCCUUCCUGGACAAGAGGAGAAAAAGUUUGUGCACACACGCCUCAGGAGCUGAAGGCACAUGCAGGAAACCUCUGGACAUUUCUUCUCCCCACCGGUAUAGGAUUCUGUAGCAAUGGGAGCAAAGCAGAAAGAGCAACCUCAGCUCUCAUUUUGUCUGCCAGCAACAUCCGGCUCCCCUCUGUUUUCCACUGGCUAUCAGAUGCUCUGUGUGAUGGCAGAAUUGGGUGGUAAAAACUAACAUUGAAAAAUAAAACUUGGAGUUAUGGGACCACCAAAAUGAAUCACAAAACUGCAGAAUUCUUAUCUCACUGGACUGUGAGAGGGAAAAUUGCUGGGUUUUUCAGGAUGGCAAGUGAUGUUUGGCAUAUUUCAGCUCGGAGAAACGCUUCUUCUUCCACUUUGUUCUCCUGCUCAUAGUGGAUAAUUCACGUCACCUUUAGGGGAUUUUGUGAUUUUUAUUUACAAUGAAUAAGCUCAUAUUAUCAAGACUAAUUCCCAGCUACACGUAGUACUUCCACUUCUCCUGGAGACACAUGGAGGAUACCUGACUCAAUGGAGCCGAAAUGGUUCCCUGUGAUGUGCCUUUUCUGUGUUAUGAUAGCUCCCUUUUCUUCGGGGGCAUUGACACUGUCUGACUUAGGGAGAAGGCAGGCCAGAUGUGCUCACUCUGCAUGUCUGCCUCUCCCCAGGGAGAGGUAGGUAUCAUCUCCUGUUAACCACCCAUCUCCCUGAAAUCCCCUCUUUUUCCCUGUUCACCUCCC